CAUGGACCUGGGUGAAGACAGGCAUUUUUGUUUUCCUGCCCAAAUAUUGCAUUUCCAAAGAGCACCCUGGCCCACCACACCCAUAUCCUGUGCCUAUAAAAACCCUGAGACCCUAGCAAGCAGACACACAAGCAGCUGGACGUGGAGAGGAACACAUUGGCAGAAGAAGACACAAGUGGCUGGACGUUGAGAGGUCAUUGAGGGGUGCCAGCUCUGUCCCACAGACCCUGGCCAACAGAGGAAAUGAGUACCCAGACACAGGCAGCCCACCUGAGUGGACAUCUUUCAUCACCAGAGAUCUCCCACCGAAGCUGACCACAACCAGUCACCUUGUUCUUCAAACCUGGAUGAGAAGUGGAAACUCGGUUUGGAAGGAUCACUCAAAAGGCUAAAUGGCUGCAAGCUGUCAAAAAGCCAACCCCAUUACAUGAUCUAUUUGAUUUGUUACCUUCACAAAUAAGAACACUUUUCAGAUCUGGAUUUCAACUUGUUUUGUUAAUAACUGUCUUUAUUUGCAUCAUAUUUUUUUUUUGAUACAGUUUCACUCUUGUCGCCUAGGCUGGAGUGCAGUGGCGCCAUCUCAGCUCACUGCAAGCUCCGCCUCCAGGGUUCAAGCGAAUCUCCUGCCUCGGCCUCCUGAGUAGCUGGGAUUACAGGUGUCUGCCACCACACCUGGCUAAUUUUUGUGUUUUUAGUAGAGACAGGUUUCACCAUGUUGGCCAGGCUGGUCUCGAACUCCUAACCUCAAGUGAUCUGCCCAACUCAGCCUCCCACCUCAGCCUCCCAAAGUGCUGGGAUUACAGGUGUGAGCAACUGUGCCCGGCCAGUAGUUUUUAUUCUUAAAUUGAUUAUGCUUUGCAUUUCUAGAUGUCUUAAGUCAACAACAAAAAAUAAAAUCAUG
rnacentral:lncRNA from 10 species